UGAAACCAAUUACCUUUUAAAGUGACCAGCUCUCCAACACUAGAGGCAUUCAAGACAAAGUUAGACAGCCAUUUGUCAGAUGUACUUUGACUUGGGGUCCUGCAUUGAGCAAGAUGUUGGACUUGAUGGCCUUAUAGGCCCCUUUCAACUCCAUUGUUCUAUGAUUAUAUGAACAACUCAGAUAAAUAAUUCUCUCAUAAUCUCUCUCUUUUAAGUAGGCUGACUCUGAAGAACAUCUAAAAUACAAAAACUGAUUUGUUACCAGUAAUCAAGGAAAAAAAUGAAAAUGUUUCCUAGAAACAAACUACCAGUACACUCUUCAAAGCAUUGAUUUUUCAUUAAUCAGAUACAGGAAAAAUGCUUAGAGCAUGCUUAAAACAAAAGAACAACUUAUCCAGAAACAUACCAAAGUAUCCAGUCUCAUACAGAAUGACCAAGACAUCACAUAAUCUUUUAGCACUUUUGGAAGAAAUUUUAUUUUUGGUCUAGCACUGAUGAAUUCAGAGGACCGCACUCCUUUGCAGCCCAAGGGAGAGUGCAUCUACUCGGCCAUAGAUUCCACUAUGUUCAGUGGAGCUCAAUUUCAAGUACAUUGAUGGGGGGGUGGGAUCUGGAGCGGAAUGAUUUGCACUGAUGUAAAGUAGUGACUAAAGGGCUGAUUUACAAAAGAGGACGUACCCUUCAAAUCACAUUCCAGAAAUUAGUAUACUAUGUGAUAUUAAACUACUGUUCGGGUCUGCAUUUCCAAUAUGGAGAUGAUUACUGAUGUGUCCUCAAGGGCUGCAAGGACUAUGAGAUAAUAUAAGAAGGGUCAUGCUUGUUUUCUACUCUGUUCUGUUGGAAGAUAGCUAACCUCAGGUGGCUUUUCAACACAGCUUUGGAUUCCACGUUUGAGAUUAAUGUAAAUAUUUUCUCCUUGGUGGAAAAAGAAGGGCAAACAUGAUAUAUUUUAGAGGAAACAGCAAGGGCUGUCAGGAGGUUGCAUUCUUCUCUCCAUGGAAAAAUACCACACCUAAGGUUGCAGGGCCUCAGGCUUUAAGCUUCAUCCUGUUAGGCAUAUUCAGAAGCAGUCUUGUCUUUAAUAUUACUGUGUAUAUGCUCUAUAGCUGCUGCUGUUCUAAUUCAAAUGUUAAUAUUUUUUUUGCUUUUUUUGUCUUGCUUUUGGUGCAGAUGUCCUGAAUGAAUGAUCAUGAGACAUUUCAUUUACUGCUAAAUGAACAUUGUGAACUGGUAUCUAAGAAAGUAGCUCUAUGUAUAGGCCAAUAUUAAAAUAUUAAUUAUCUUUU